rnacentral:misc_RNA from 1 species
AACAAAAACAACAAGGAAAAUGGCACUUGAGAGUGAAUUUACACAUCAAGCUUGCUUACCACAAAGAUAUGCCAAACAACUUUAAAAAUAUUAAUAGAAUGUAAUCUUUAAGCAUUCAAUUUUUGGACCAUGCACUGUUCUAUCUGCAACAAGUUUUGAUCAUCUAUAAAAAGAAAAUCCAUGACUAAUCUCAACAUCUAU